rnacentral:rRNA from 1 species
UACGUAAGGAAAGCGGAAGCCGGGAAUGGAAAGCCCGGUGCAAGCGGGGUACCAGUCACUUUGGCAAAUCCGGGUGGCAAUGGGAAGCCGUGAUGCGGAGCGAAAUAAAGUAGCGAAGUCCGUGAGCCAUGCGUCAAGAAAAGCCGCUAUCGUUUAUACCGUACCCGUACCGUAAACCGACACAGGUGGAUGAGGAGAGAAUCCUAAGGCCGGCGGAAGAAGCAUUGUCAAGGAACUCGGCAAAAUGGCCCCGUAACUUAGGGAUAAGGGGUGCCUGGGAAACCAGGCCGCAGAGAAUAGGCUCAAGCAACUGUUUAGCAAAAACACAGGUCUAUGCGAAACCGAAAGGUGAGGUAUAUGGGCUGACGCCUGCCCGGUGCUGGAAGGUUAAGAGGAGAGGUUAGCGGUAACGCGAAGCUUUGAAUUUAAGCCCCAGUAAACGGCGGCCGUAACUAUAACGGUCCUAAGGUAGCGAAAUUCCUUGUCGGGUAAGUUCCGACCCGCACGAAAGGCGUAAUGAUUUGAGCGCUGUCUCGACAAUGCAUCCGGUGAAAUUGAAGUACCAGUGAAGAUGCUGGUUACCUGCGCCAGGACGGAAAGACCCCAUGGAGCUUUACUCCAGUCUGGUACUGGGACUCGGUAUUGCAUGUACAGGAUAGGUGGGAGGCUAGGAGAUGGUAACGCCAGUUGCCAUGGAGCCGCUGUUGGGAUACCACCCUUGCAGUAUUGGGUUUCUAACCAGCCGCCGUGACCCGGCGGUGGGACAAUGCCAGACGGGGAGUUUGACUGGGGCGGUCGCCUCCGAAAGGGUAUCGGAGGCGCCCAAAGGUUCCCUCAGAAUGGACGGAAACCAUUCGAAGAGUGCAAAGGCAGAAGGGAGCUUGACUGCGACACCGACGGGUGGAGCAGGUACGAAAGUAGGGCUUAGUGAUCCGGUGGUAUUAAGUGGGAAUGCCAUCGCUCAACGGAUAAAAGCUACCCUGGGAUAACAGGCUUAUCACUCCCAAGAGUUCACAUCGACGGAGUGGUUUGGCACCUCGAUGUCGGCUCAUCGCAUCCUGGGGCUGUAGUAGGUCCCAAGGGUUGGGCUGUUCGCCCAUUAAAGCGGUACGCGAGCUGGGUUCAGAACGUCGUGAGACAGUUCGGUCCCUAUCCGGCGUGGGCGUAGGAUAUCUGAGAGGAGCUGUCCUUAGUACGAGAGGACCGGGAUGGACGGGCCGCUGGUGCAUCGGUUAGACUGCCAAGUCUACGGCCGAGUAGCCAAGCCCGGAAGGGAUAAACGCUGAAGGCAUCUAAGCGUGAAGCCCCCCUUAAGAUGAGAUAUCCCAUUCGAAAGAAGUAAACCCCCUUGAAGACGACGAGGUAGAUAGGGCAGAGGUGGAAGUGCAGCAAUGCAUGGAGCUGACUGUUACUAAUCGGGUGAGGGCUUGACC